rnacentral:rRNA from 1 species
CGCCAACUCCUACGGGAGGCAGCAGUGGGGAAUAUUGGGCAAUGGGCGCAAGCCUGACCCAGCAACGCCGCGUGAAGGAAGAAGGCUUUCGGGUUGUAAACUUCUUUUCUCAGGGACGAAGCAAGUGACGGUACCUGAGGAAUAAGCCACGGCUAACUACGUGCCAGCAGCCGCGGUAAUACGUAGGUGGCAAGCGUUAUCCGGAUUUACUGGGUGUAAAGGGCGUGUAGGCGGGACUGCAAGUCAGAUGUGAAAACCACGGGCUCAACCUGUGGCCUGCAUUUGAAACUGUGUUUCUUGAGUGCUGGAGAGGCAAUCGGAAUUCCGUGUGUAGCGGUGAAAUGCGUAGAUAUACGGAGGAACACCAGUGGCGAAAGCGGAUUGCUGGACAGUAACUGACGCUGAGGCGCGAAAGCGUGGGGAGCAACCAGGAUUAGAUACCCCGGUAAC